GAUGAACGCUGGCUACAGGCUUAACACAUGCAAGUCGAGGGGAAACGACGGGGAAGCUUGCUUCCCCGGGCGUCGACCGGCGCACGGGUGAGUAACGCGUAUCCAACCUGCCUCUGACUGAGGGAUAACCCGUCGAAAGUCGGCCAAAUACCUCAUGGCAUCGUCUGCGGGCAUCCAACGACGAUUAAAGACUUCAUCGGUCAGGGAUGGGGAUGCGUCUGAUUAGCUUGUUGGCGGGGUAACGGCCCACCAAGGCUACGAUUAGUAGGGGUUCUGAGAGGAAGGUCCACCACAUUGGAACUGAGACACGGUCCAAACUCCUACGGGAGGCAGCAGUGAGGAAUAUUGAGCAAUGGGCGGGAGCCUGAACCAGCCAAGUAGCGUGCAGGAUGACGGCCCUAUGGGUUGUAAACUGCUUUUAUGCGGGGAUAAAGUGAGGGACGUGUCCUUCAUUGCAGGUACCGAAUGAAUAAGGACCGGCUAAUUCCGUG
rnacentral:rRNA from 1 species